rnacentral:rRNA from 1 species
UACGUAGGGUGCAAGCGUUGUCCGGAAUUAUUGGGCGUAAAGAGCUCGUAGGCGGUCUGUCGCGUCUGGUGUGAAAACUCAGGGCUUAACCCUGAGCUUGCAUCGGGUACGGGCAGACUAGAGUGCGGUAGGGGAGACUGGAAUUCCUGGUGUAGCGGUGAAAUGCGCAGAUAUCAGGAGGAACACCGGUGGCGAAGGCGGGUCUCUGGGCCGCAACUGACGCUGAGGAGCGAAAGCAUGGGGAGCGAACAGG